rnacentral:lncRNA from 1 species
UUGUGGAGAAACCUGUAACUCGCCCCUGCUGAUAGCAAGAUGUCUUCAGGAAAUGCAAAAGGUGGGCAUCCUGCUCCUGACUUCAAAGCCACGGCUGUUAUGCCAGAUGGACAAUUCAAAGAUAUCAGCCUAAGUGAGUAGAAAGGAAAAUGUGUUGCAUUCUUUUUUUUACCCUCUUGACUUUACUUUUGUCUGUCCCACGGAGAUCGUUGCUUUCAGUGAUAGAGCAGAAGAAUUUAAGAAACUCCACUGCCGAGUGAUUGGAGCUUCUGUGGAUUCUCACUUCUGUCAUGUGGCAUGGAUUAACACACCCAAGAAACAAGGAGGAUUGGGACCCCUGAGCAUUCCCUUGGUAUCAGAUCCCAAGCGCACCAUUGCUCAGGAUGAUGGAGUCUUAAAGGCAGAUGAAGGUUAUCUCUUUCAGGGGCCUCUUUAUUAUUGAUGAUAAAGGUAGCCUUCACCAGAUAACAAUAAAUGAUCUUCCUGUUGGCCUCUCUGUGGAUGAGAUUCUGAGACUAGUCCAGGCCUUCUAGUUCACUGACAAACAUGGCGAAGUGUGCUCAGCUAGCCGGAAACCUGGCAGUG